UGGAACAGGCCGCUCCCACAGCAUAG
rnacentral:misc_RNA from 1 species